rnacentral:lncRNA from 1 species
GUAGAGAAGCCUCUGGUUGAGGUGAACCGGUUUGCAUGACUUGAGCUCCGACAGAACUCCUGUCGGCUGGAGCACUUCCUGCUUCUCUGACCUCAUUCAACGAAUUCCUCCCACUUUCAUUGCGGGGUAGAGAAGUUUCUGGUUGAGGUGCACCAGUUUGCAUGACUUGAGCUCUGACAGAACUCCUGUCGGCUGGAGCACUUCCUGCUUCUGUGAUCUCAUUCAAUGAAUUCCUCUCAUUUUCAUUGCGGGGUAGAGAAGGCUCUGGUUGAGGUGCACUGGUUUGCAUGACUUGAGCUCCGACAGAACUCCUGUCGGCUGGAGCACUUCCUGCUUCUGUGACCUCAUUCAAUGAAUUCUUACCCUUUACAUUGUGGCACAACUGUACAAUUGUAUCCUCUUGAGAUUGAUGCUUCUUCA